rnacentral:rRNA from 1 species
GAUGAACGCUGGCGGCGUGCCUAAUACAUGCAAGUCGAGCGAACAGACGAGGAGCUUGCUCCUCUGACGUUAGCGGCGGACGGGUGAGUAACACGUGGAUAACCUACCUAUAAGACUGGGAUAACUUCGGGAAACCGGAGCUAAUACCGGAUAAUAUAUUGAACCGCAUGGUUCAAUAGUGAAAGACGGUUUUGCUGUCACUUAUAGAUGGAUCCGCGCCGCAUUAGCUAGUUGGUAAGGUAACGGCUUACCAAGGCAACGAUGCGUAGCCGACCUGAGAGGGUGAUCGGCCACACUGGAACUGAGACACGGUCCAGACUCCUACGGGAGGCAGCAGUAGGGAAUCUUCCGCAAUGGGCGAAAGCCUGACGGAGCAACGCCGCGUGAGUGAUGAAGGUCUUCGGAUCGUAAAACUCUGUUAUUAGGGAAGAACAAAUGUGUAAGUAACUAUGCUCGUCUUGACGGUACCUAAUCAGAAAGCCACGGCUAACUACGUG